AGCGCACGCUCAUGCGGCGCGGCGCGGCGUGCGCGUCGUGCUGUGGGCACUGCGCAAGCGCAGUCGUCCUCCACGCGGCCCGGGUGCGCCUCGUGCCCCACGCGACUUCUCUUGUCACCGUACGAUAUGUGAAAAGCCAACAUUGUACCAAACAGUGAUCGCAUUGGAAUUGAAAUCUGACUCGAUACACAAUUGAUAAGAUUUAUACGACAGUGAGGUCAGUGAACGCAAAGGAUUGCCAGAUCUUGUGAUCUGGACUAUGUAUAGGCCGACUACCCCGCGGGAGGUGACGGUGGUAGAUGGCGCGCAACUAAUUAUAGCCUCCCCUCCAGCGAGAUGAUGGCACGCCGACGGGAGCGCGCACAUGUGGCGCCCGGCGCGGCGGCUACGAGCUCCCUGCCCAGAGCCCAUGGUUAUUUCCGAUACGGUCGCCAAGCGGCGCGGUGCGCGUUGCGCCUUACAUAAGAGACUCCAGCGCGCGGCACUGUGGCCGGCCCUUGCGCCACGCGUGCAGCCACGCCGCGAGCUGCAGGUCGCUGCACGUUCGGGAAACCGAUCCGACGGACGCCCGUCGUCCGGUCUAUUUUGGGAAAAUACAAAUUUGGAAUGGACGGCACUCGCGACUCGAAAGCGAACUCCGGCGGUUGAAUCCAUUUUUAGAGGUAGUGUGCGCGUGCGCAGCGAGCGCGCUGCCAGUGCCGUCCGAGCUGUUCGUCGGGUCACAGGCGCGCCGCGGCGCCGCGACCCUCUCACACGGACGGCCAUCGGGCCCGUGACGCGUGCGGCCCUCGCCGCGGCAGCGCUGCGUCAUAACUAAUGGCAACACCGACCGAGUGCAAGAACAAACAGUGCAACAUAAUGAAGAUAGAAAAUUGAGCCUUGCGCUAGUUCCGUGCUUCCUUACUUCCCAUAGUGCUAUUAUUCAUAUGGAAUGUAAAGAAGUAUGGAGCUGCGCCGGCGGACCCACCGCUGCGGAUCACUGCUACUUUCAUACGUGUCAUCCAACUAAUGGACCUGAUUUGUGUUUAAUAUUAUAAAGUGCUAUUCAAAUAAAAACAUACGUUACGUCAUCUGAAAGUAAUUCUUUCUCUGUUUUUGUGAUUUCUGAAUUAAUUUGAUAAACUGAAAUUGACAAUAAAACUGUUUACAAAGUUUUAUCGAUUCAACAAAAUAAACAAUACUUCCAAUUUCGUUGUCGACGUUGAGUUACAGUGUGCGGUUACAAAACGUUUAAAGUUGAAGUAAAAGCGGGAAUUGUUCGUCGGCUGCCGAGUUGUCGUAAAAUAACAUCUGGCGCAGAGUGGAGCUGGACAUGGCGGCGUGAUUGGGGCAAUGACAGCGCGCGCGCAUUACAAUGAGCGGCUCUCAGGACGUGAGAGGCGCGCCGCGGCGGGCGCCAUCGUCGACGUCUCGGACGCCGGGUCCGCUGUACGACGUCCGCCGUAUUCAAUAGCGCACAUCGUUCCGCGCUAUAAACCCGGGAUCGACCCGGCCCGAGCCCUUUAAUACUGCACGCAUUUAACUAGCGCACAAAGGAGCGCUCUAUGAGAAAGGGAUCUUGACCUACCAGUUCCUGCAUAAUGUUCGACUUAAAAAUAUCGCCUUUGAAAAACAAUUUAUUCAUGCAUCUCCGCAACGACUAUUUCUAACAAAAGAAUACGAAACUAGACAGGGGGAUAAUGAAAGCUAGUCAAAGCCAUUUUAAUAGAGUUACUUACGUGCAAUUCGGUUACGUAUUAUUUUUUUAAACACUGUAUGGGCGAAUGGUGUGAGUAUCCGAAGGGUUAAAAGACAAUAUUUUUUUUUUAGUAUUAUAAUAUAUGGUUUAAAAAUGUUGUUGGCCUGUGGAAAAUUAAUGUGUUGCAAUAAAAUAGAUUAUGAUUUGAUGUUUGAAUGAAGACAUAUAGCUCUGGAUUGGCCAGCGAUCGUGUUAUGACAUCACCUCGCGCCGGCCGGUGCUAAAAUAACCAGCGCAGGAAUCUUUGGCAGCGGUCCAGGGGCCGGCGUCGCCGACUCGCUUCUCUCACUUCUCUCGCCUUUUCUAUUCACGUGCAUUUUAAAUUUAAUAUCAACUCGUAUACAAUUUCAUUACGUGGAAAUGUAAUAUGAAUGUUUCUUUCAAAGUAGUUUUGUCAUAACGAAUGGCAUACAUUAAAUGUUUUUAAGCUACGUGUGCUGUAUGCAGUGCUGUAAAAAGAACAUAACUGAUACAUUUAGAGUCAAAAGUUAAAAACCGUACCGGUA